rnacentral:rRNA from 1 species
AACGAACGCUGGCAGCAUGCCUAACACAUGCAAGUCGAACGAGACCUUCGGGUUUAGUGGCUCACGGGUGCGUAACGGGUGGGAAAAUGCCCUAAGGUUCGGAAUAACUCCUCGAAAGGGGUGCUAAUAAAGGAUGAGGUAUUGGGACUAAUGAUUUAUCGCCCUUGGAUGUGGCCGCGUUGGAUUAGAUAGUUGGUAGGGUAAAAGCCUACCAGGGCGACGAUGCAUAGCUGGUCUGAGAGGAUGAUCCGCCACACUGACACUGAGCGGCGGCACAGACUCCUACGAGAGGCAACUGUGCGGAAUAUUGAACAAUGGACGAAGGCCUGAUGCUGCCAUGCUGCGUGAGUGAUGAAGGUCUUAGAGUUGAAAAGCUCAUUUACCCGGGAUGAUAGUGACGGUACCGGGAGAAUAAGCACCGGCUAACUACGUG